GGCACAGUAGCUUAAUGGGUAAAGCCGUGGCCUGCAAGGCCAUCAUCCCAUAUGAGUGCCAGUUCAAGUCCUGGCUGUUCCU
rnacentral:tRNA from 1 species